GACGAACGCUGGCGGCGUGCUUAACACAUGCAAGUCGAACGGAAAGGCCCUGCUUUUGUGGGGUGCUCGAGUGGCGAACGGGUGAGUAACACGUGAGUAACCUGCCCUUGACUUUGGGAUAACUUCAGGAAACUGGGGCUAAUACCGGAUAGGAGCUCCUGCUGCAUGGUGGGGGUUGGAAAGUUUCGGCGGUUGGGGAUGGACUCGCGGCUUAUCAGCUUGUUGGUGGGGUAGUGGCUUACCAAGGCUUUGACGGGUAGCCGGCCUGUGAGGGUGACCGGCGACAUUGGGACUGAGAUACGGCCCAGACUCCUACGGGAGGCAGCAGUGGGGAAUAUUGCACAAUGGGAGGAAGCCUGAUGCAGCAACGCCGCGUGCGGGAUGACGGCCUUCGGGUUGUAAACCGCUUUCGCAUGUGACGAAGCGUGAGUGACGGUAAUGGGUAAAGAAGCACCGGCUAACUACGUG
rnacentral:rRNA from 1 species